AUUGAACGCUGGCGGCAGGCCUAACACAUGCAAGUCGAACGAGUGGCGGACGGGUGAGUAAUGUCUGGGAAACUGCCUGAUGGAGGGGGAUAACUACUGGAAACGGUAGCUCAUACCGCAUACCAUCGGAUGUUCCCAGAUGGGAUUAGCUAGUAGGUGGGGUAAGGGCUCACGUAGGCGACUAUCCCUAGCUGGUCUGAGAGGAUGACCAACCACAGGGGAACUAGGACGCGGUCCAGAUUCGUGCGAGUGGCAGCAGUGGUGAGUAUGGCACAAUGGGCGCAGGCCUGAAGCAGCCUUGCCGCGUGUAUGAAGAAGGCCUUCGGGUUGUAAAGUACUUUCAGCGGGGAGGCGUUACCCGCAGAAGAAGCACGGGCUAACUCCGUGCCAGCGGCCGCGGUAAUUC
rnacentral:rRNA from 1 species